GACCAGUGGAUCAUAAUCCGUGCUGAGGUUUGUCUCCAGUGGAGUACUAAAAAGAUCUUCCCUCACCUUUGUCUUUGUCAACAUUUUCAACUUAGAUGAAGACAUAGAAGCUCUGGAAGGUGGGAAGUCCAAGUUCAAGGUGCAGAUUCCGUGUCUGGUGAGGACGUGCUUCCUGGUUCACAGAUGGCCAUCUUCUUGCUGUGUCCUCACAUGGCAGAAGGAAAGUGAGAGAGCUCUCUUCUUCUAUCACCACAGCAUUUUUUGGUGAAGAGCCACAAGGGAAGAAAAAUGGAGAGAUUUGGGUUUCGCCUUCUUUCCUACUUUCUGCCCACAAUAUCGUGGAGGUGCUGACAGGCAGAGAAAAGGCCAGCAACAGGCAGCCUUCAUCGAUGAAGAGGGGACAAGGAAUAUUUCCACAGUGGUUAUUCAAGGAAUAUUCAGCGUGUACCUGCACAACAUCAAGAAUGAUUUCUGGAAAAAAGUUGCUAAAGUAUUGAAUAUCACAGAGAGUAGCUGGGUAGAAAUGUUCUUUUCUUUCUAGUUAUGUCACAGAAGAUAGGCUGGACACCAUUGCAUUUGCUGGCAAAAAAAAACCCCUAGAAGAACAUCAGUUCCUUUAAGGAGAACUUAAAGUGUAAGUUUAUGUUUGUUAGAGUAAGACGCAGAGCAAACCCCUCUUUCUAAGCACUGUCAUUGCUCUGGGGAGGAAGAGAAAGCAGAAAGACAAGAAAAGGAAGCGAAAGAUUCGAACCAGUGACGCUUUUCUUAAAGGAACCAUAAAAACCAAGGAACAACUCAAUGUUAGAAAAGCCCAAGUAGCCCCACUAACAAAGGAAAAACAGAGAAGAGCUUCCUUCUUAUAUCACAGAAGUAGAAAUACUAGAAAUACACCGACCAAAGUUAAUCUUUAGCCUGAGGGAAAGGAUUCCCUUAAAUACACACUGCUAUGAGUAGUACUGGGUUUGUCUGGGAAACGUUUAUUAAGAAGAUGCUUCAAGUUCUUAAAAUUCCACGGAGCAGAUAAGACCCACCAUGCCCUAAGGCUACUACCUCUGAAGGGAGAAAUAUACAGAAGAAAGCCAAGCCUUUGGGCAGGUUUGCUGGCCUCAAGGUUCAGGCCUGCAGGAGGGGAUCAAAUUGCCCAUGAAAGACCUUCAGGGCUAGGGUUUCAGGGUGCGCUGGUCAAACAGAAACUCAAGUAUCCUGCGUUUGUGUCUGGACGGGCGCGCCUAAAUGAGGUCACCCUCCAUCUGGUGCCCAGGAUUUCGCUUACAGAAUCCAUUGAGUGUCCUCCUCCAGUUGCUGCUUCUUUGGAAAACACAAUUCUCCCAUGAUUUCCCACACGGUUUUCAAGUUUAAUUCCUGAAAUAGGAGCGAUGCUCUGUUUCCGCUAAGCUAAAGCACCUUUCCAUCCUUGCAGAUGGGAAGAAAAUGGCCUCUGCAACUUUGCUUUCAAAAAAAGGACCAUGUUUACCAAUUUGGCAUCGAAGUCCUCUCAAUUAUGCCUUCCCAAACUCCCUCAAAUCCACAGCUUUCUCUUCAUUCUGCCGCUCCUCCCCACAGAAUUACCUUUCUAAAGUACAGUUCUGGUCACAUCAUUUAAAGUGAUUGUCCAUGGGCCGAAGACUCCUCAGAACGGUGCCUCACAAUUUGGCCCUAGCAUCCAUUUUCAGCGCAUCUCUGAUUUCCUCCUUCCCUCCCGUCUUCCUGGCCUUAUCCCCAUGCCCCUCACAGACACACACACACGCACACCAUCAGCAGCUCCCUGAUCACACCACACAUCCUCCUGUCUCCUGCCUCCAUGACCCAGCUAUGUUCUGCCUGGGACGUCCUUCCUCUCUAGUGAACUUCUAGUCUGAACAAUUCCCAGCUCAAGGAUCAUUUUUCCAACCCACACAGUGUAUUAAUCAUUCUUUGUUACACUUGCUUCCAAUCUGUUCCCCAGAACUUUUGAUGGAGUCGAUAUGCAGGUCUCUGUCUGCCCGCCAUGUGCCCUCAGACAGAGUUCCUGUAUCCUGUUCAUCACAGUGCUGUCAGGGGUUAGCAGAGUGCCUAGAACAUAUUGGGCUUGUAGUAAAUGAAAGAACAGCGUGGUGGGUGAAAUAAAUAGAAUGACUUUCUCCUAGGGAGCAAGGAGAAAGUCAAGAUGAGAAAUGCUUAGUCUGGGCCCAGAGAUGGGGCAAAAACGCUAAGAAUAAUGAGUAUAAAUGCAAUAAGUCCCAGGUAGAUUUUCAAAAUAUUCCUAGUCUGGGAAAAAGCCCUAGUUUUGAUCUGUUCAUAAAGAUGAUGUUUUACGGCAUAACUGGCUCCUUGUUUCCUGAUAGUUAGCAUACGUAUUAAGUUUCUAGCAUUUAUCGUAACAUUUAAGAAUUUCUGCCCAGUGAACUCAUUAAGGAAUGGUGGGUUAGUGCUUGCUUCAUCAGGUCACGUCUAUAUUUAAGCCGGUGAAACCAAGUGAGUUUAUCCUGGGACCAAAUUCUCAUUUCCCUUUGUUGGGAGUCCCAGACUGCUUAGCUGACACUCUCAAGAAGACAGAGGCGUGGCUUCGACCCACUUCCUACAUGAGGGAAGGAAAUGGUAGAGACAAGAAGCUCACCUUUGUACAAAAGUCUACCCAUGAAAAUACAAAAAGCCACUAUGGAAAAGGGAAACUUAGACACAGAAAACUGUGGGCGAGGCUGACUGCAUUCAGCGGUCUGGCCAGCACUAAGUCGUCCUUCUGCCACCUCAAGGGAGAUGCGGAGGUUUAACCGCAAUCAGAUGCCUGCCUGCAGGUACAAUGGUAAAAACAAACGGAAGAAAAGAUAGAAUGAGGUUGGAGCCUCAACUCUAGGCACUAAACGUAGAUUCAAAAUUUGAAACAAAAGUCCAUUGGCCUGUGACUACUUGGGAUUUUCCAUUUGAGGUACUCACUCCAUAUCAUCAAACAUAUUUUGGGGCAACUGUGCUAUUAUUAACUGGAACCCUCUGGACAAGAUCCACCAACACGGGGCUUGCCUGCUGUACUGCGCGGAAAAGCCCUCUGUCGAAAGGAAAUGGCAUCACGAGCCCAGCGUUAGCCAGCGCCUCCUCCCACAAGAGGAUUGAUGAGGUGUGUGUGCGCAGCAGUAGAAGGGAUGUGAUAUUACUUGCUUGCUUUCCUGCCUUCCAACACUUGUUUUAUUUAUUUAACAUUUGACCCAGAGGGAAAUCUUGGUGUUUUGUUUUUCAAGGACCCAUUCCAAACUCACUGUCCACAGCCUGUUGGAUUUUGAAAGAAUUCCCUCUUUUGCCCACCUCAGACUCUUUGUUCAUUUGCUGGAGUCAGACUAUCAGUGCUGGCUGUCGGCAGCCUACCUGCUUUGGGCUUUUGUCUCUAAAUUUAUCCACAUGCUAUCCGCCGGCUUUCCAAUCUGGGAACAAUUUCCAGGCUACUGCCGGCGAAAGGGAAGUUUAAGUACACAUCUUUCAUUUGUUCUUAGGGGGAAAAAUGACAUGCCAUUUGUUGUCCAGAUAAAUGACCAAAUUAGCACAUCUGUGCCAUCCAAUGAAAUAAAUUCCAGCUAGAACUGGCUCUAAAUUUAAUAGAUCUGUUAAUGCCCAGCACACAGAGAAAAAAAUCCCUUCUGGCAGUAUUUACAUAAUUAUCAAUCAUUUCAUCUCCUUCAAUAGUAAUAUAUUUCUCUGUCCACUUUCUUAUACGCUUAAUUCUUGUAUAGUAAACACUCAUGAGAAAAAUUACUUCUUAACCAGGUGGAGACAGCAGCAGCCGACUAGGCCUUAUCAUAUAUAUACCAGCUAUAAAGUAUGAUAUUGGGCCACACUUUUAUAAAACUUCCACAACAAAGAUCAUAUUACAAGGUGAUUUUCAGAUAUGAUGAAAUUCAAAAUAGAAUAGAGGUGGCCUGAGGUUUUUUUUUUCCAUCAUUCAAACAGAAAAUAUCAAAGAUUAUUUCAUAUUCAAACUCAGAAGUCAAUUUAACUUUUGCAACUAAAAAGACUUUUGCUUUGGUUUUUAAAGCAAUCAGUACCAGAGCCAGUCUGUUAAAAAUGAAAAACUCAUGUGAUAGACAAUAGAGAAUAAUUCACAAAUAGUUUUUGAAAAUACACUGGUGAGAUGGCCCUUGGAACGUUCAGUGAUGUUCUAGAUACACGCAGUAAAGCAGACAUAGCAUUGAAGCUUCUUUAGUUCUGGAAUUUCCUGUGCUACAGGACCCUUAUGACAUCUGCCUUCAGUCUUCAAGGAGACCCCAGUUUAGAAAUAGGUACUGGAUCACUAAAUUUGAUAAAGGAAAUGUGAAUCAGGGAGUGAAAUCUAUUAUGAUCAAUUCUGAUUAUCCUACAUCACCUGCAAACAUUGACAGUGACAAAUAAAAAUGGCAAGCAAUAGGAUAUAUUGGAGUAUACGAGGAAGCCAUUUGGUGUAAACCUAAUUCGGCCUAACUUUGUUUUUUCCAAAAGGGCCUGACUGGCCAUUGAGCAC